rnacentral:rRNA from 1 species
AGUGAACGCUGGCGGUAGGCCUAACACAUGCAAGUCGAACGGCAGCACAGUAAGAGCUUGCUCUUACGGGUGGCGCGUGGCGGACGGGUGAGGAAUACAUCGGAAUCUACUUUUUCGUGGGGGAUAACGUAGGGAAACUUACGCUAAUACCGCAUACGACCUACGGGUGAAAGCAGGGGAUCUUCGGACCUUGUGCGAUUGAAUGAGCCGAUGUCGGAUUAGCUAGUUGGCGGGGUAAAGGCCCACCGAGGCGACGAUCCGUAUCUGGUCUGAGAGGAUGAACAGCCACACUGGAACUGAGACACGGUCCAGACUCCUACGGGAGGCAGCAGUGGGGAAUAUUGGACAAUGGGCGCAAGCCUGAUCCAGCCAUACCGCGUAGGUGAAGAAGGCCUUCGGGUUGUAAAGCCCUUUUGUUGGGAAAGAAGAGCAGCAGGUUAAUACCCCGCUGUUCUGACGGUACCCAAAGAAUAAGCACCGGCUAACUUCGUG